CUGACACCAAGUCAUCCGUGAUGCUCCUUUCAUGCCAGUUUUGCAGGCACAGAGAACUUUGGGUUCGGUGAGGAGAUCAGAGACAAUCCCCCACCGAGACACGUUUGGGACAUGAAUCUGCUUCACCUCACCCCUCAGUGCACCGAGGGACUUUUAGAGGAGACUGGAUGAAGAGGAGAGCCUGGAAACAUCACUACUCCCUGCGUCACUGAUUGAGGAUAUUUCGAUUUCAUAUUAAAACUCUCAAAAGUUUUCCACACCAUCCACCAGGACCAGCAUCUGAAGUGCAGGGUCAGGCAGAGAUCCACUGCCAAGAUCUGUUUGGCUCAAAGAAACACUCAAACUGACACUUUCCCAUUCAUUGGAAACUGUAUACACACACCGCAGAUUAUAUGAAAAGAUGGACGGCAUGGCCACUCCACUGAGGUGAAGCAAGGCCAUUUGGAUAUCCCACUACUGACUAUCUCACUUCCACCUCCUCCAUGUAAACAGCUGGGACAAAUUAAGUUUGUCUUAAACAUGGCUUCCAUCAUUAUAAUUAGGUUGUAUGAUGCUCAUUUAUGUCCAGGUGUUCAUCUGUAUGAGAAGUUUAGUUUUAAGUAGCUAAUCAAUGCUGUUAGAUAAGGUGUAAUGCUCUGUAGAUGAAUGUGGCUCCUGCACCAGAUCAGCACAACAGAGACAGAACAGCCAAAGGGAAACUUAAUACCAAUACGAGGCAUUAAACUCUGCACAGCCAUUAGUGUCUGCUUCAAACUGGCACAAGAAGCUGCACUGUGGUCUCUACCAACUUCUGGAAACUUUGCCUAUUCAUGAGCAAGUUAAACGUGUGUUUUGCUGGAGCAGAAAGGGCAGUACAUCACAAACCACUGCUCCACCAGCACAGACCAAUCACAGCCCCUUGUAGUGUGGAUAUAGCAGGCAGUUGGAGUGGAGAAAUUAACAACCUGAAUUUGGAUUUCUCAUUUGAAAGAGAGUUUACUCAGGGCAGCAAGGUCAGAAAAAAUGUUUGGUGACCCCCUGCUGGAAAAGAAGCAGAAAAAGGAGUCAUGACAGGGAAAGCUGGCUUCUCUCACAGCCUUCAAAGUGACAUAGAUCAACCAGUUUGUUAGUUCCCCACACCUUUUAUAACAAGUUACCUCAUUUCUGGGCCAAUCAGACAGGAGCUCUGCAAUCAGUGUCACCUUGACCCAGGUGGACUUCAUCAUCUCUCACCUGGAGCUUAACAAGCUGCAAUAAUGAUUCAACCUUCUUAGGUCUGACCAAGCAUGCUUGUUGUUGAAGAAGUACACUUUAACUUUUAAAAAUUCAAACAGAAAAAUAAGUUAAGUUUAUUUAUGUGAAUGAAAUUAAUCAAGCAAACCUUUAAAGGGUAAACUUCCAGUGGUUUAUGAGCAAGAGGAAUGUGCACCUCCUCCUCUCAGCUUAAACAUCAACAUUUAUUCAAGAUAACUUGCAACAUGGCAAGGGAGACAGUAGGCUACAUAACACAGCCCAUUCUCCCAGCAAGGUGGUCCAUUUAAACAUGUCCUGCCUCUCACUGAGCCUGUCUACACCACCCCAGCCUCCCCUUUUCUGGUUUAAAUCUUUGUUUUACCCUCGUGGGGCUCUCUGGAAAGCCUUAGCAUGCUGCUUUGCAAACCUGAGGAGCACCCUGAAAAGCUGAGCCACUAGCGCCAAGCAUUAUCAUAUAAUUAAUGGUACAAAUCGAUGUUAAGAGUGCUCCUGACUGGACCUUAUUUACCAUCCUUGUGGUGUGGUUUUCAUAU